GAUGAACGCUGGCGGCGUGCCUAAUACAUGCAAGUCGAGCGAACAGACGAGGAGCUUGCUCCUCUGACGUUAGCGGCGGACGGGUGAGUAACACGUGGAUAACCUACCUAUAAGACUGGGAUAACUUCGGGAAACCGGAGCUAAUACCGGAUACUAUAUUGAACCGCAUGGUUCAAUAGUGAAAGACGGUUUUGCUGUCACUUAUAGAUGGAUCCGCGCCGCAUUAGCUAGUUGGUAAGGUAACGGCUUACCAAGGCAACGAUGCGUAGCCGACCUGAGAGGGUGAUCGGCCACACUGGAACUGAGACACGGUCCAGACUCCUACGGGAGGCAGCAGUAGGGAAUCUUCCGCAAUGGGCGAAGGCUUGACGGAGCAACGCCGCGUGAGUGAUGAAGGUCUUCGGAUCGUAAAACUCUGUUAUUAGGGAAGAACAAAUGUGUAAGUAACUAUGCACGUCUUGACGGUACCUAAUCAGAAAGCCACGGCUAACUACGUG
rnacentral:rRNA from 1 species